rnacentral:rRNA from 1 species
CGGAGGGGUUAGCGUUGUUCGGAAUGACUGGGCGGUAAAGACGCGCGUAGGCGGAUCGCAAAGUUGGGGGUGAAAGCCCAGGGCUCAACCCUCGGAAUUGCCUUCAAGACUCGCGGUCUGGAGUUCGAGAGAGGUGGGUGGAAUUCCGAGUGUAGAGGUGAAAUUCGUAGAUAUUCGGAGGAACACCAGUGGCGAAAGGCGGCCCACUGGCUCGACACUGACGCUGAGGCGCGAAAAGCGCGGGGAGCAAACAGGAUU